AUGCUAAGAGAAUUAAGAUGUCACUCAAUGAAGAAAAGAAAGAUGAGGAAACUACUACAAAACAUAUACUCAACAAAUACUUGGAAAAUGAACAAAGAAGUGAGUUAUUAAAAUGUUGGGAAAUGUCAGGUUAUGAUGUCGCAGUUCGUGAGUUCAAGCCCCACGUCGGACUCUGUGCUGAUGACUCAGAGCCUUGAGCCUGCUUUGGAUUCUGUGUCUCCCUCUCUCUGCCCUCUCUCUGCCCUUCCCAUGACCCUUUCUCUCCCUCAAAAUAAAAUAAACGGUAAAAUUUUUUUUAAA